GUAUGUUCGUACUUCACACGUUAAAUUGUAAUCAAUUCAUUCAGUUAUUUCGCCAGGAGGGAGCGAACCCACCGGUAAAUCCUAUCUGACUCCAGCCUGUAAUUUGCGCAAUGAAGGGAAGUACAUCAAACUGCUGUGACAUCAAAGGACAUAUUGAUUAUAACUGUGCCCUAUUUGACUCACAAGCAGCUACUCAAGUGCAGUAUGUUCAAAACACAGGAUUCAAUUGAGUGUCUGAGUCAUGGCAAAUUCCUGAUCGAGAUGCUUUCCGCAAAGUAAACAAUAACACCAGACUGGGGUCCACGAAACUUCACGAGACACAUUGGUGUUAACAGAUGAAAGAAACAUUGGUUAAGGAAGCAAGAUAAAUUCUUAACAAAAGGACAAGCCUUAAUACAAAUUAACGUACAGUAUACAUACCUAUAAUCGUUCUUUCCUAGAAGAGUAUGCAUAGCUACCGCAGAGUUAUAGCAUGUAUUGCAAGUACCGCGGUCAAAUUUAGCUCACUCACACCAAAAUUGGAAUGAUGAUUCUUGGCGAAAUUCUUUCCUCUGAUGAGUCUUCGUGGUGUCUGAACAUAGUUGGUGGAAGGGACAAAGCAUCGAGGCGGCACGGAGCUACACUCAAUGUUACACUCUUCAAAAAGAAUAGCACGUUAGAAGGUUUAGGGACACAACAUCCUUAUAUCAACAAUUUUUUAAGGUAUGGCAAUGCGACAGUUUCAUAAUAAUUUAAAGGUAUUCAAAUUUAAAUUUUAGAGUUGCCAAUAUACCCCCGAAACUUAUAUCGUUCCAAAAAUUAGGCGGGAAGUAAUUCCUUACUAAGGCGUAGUGCCAUAUUUAGCACGUGGUAGUAAAUAGUAGAAAUAUAUUCUUUGUAUUCAUUACUGAGAUUUCAUUAUGUUAAUAAUAAUUUUCCUCGACAUGAGGUAAUUUUGCAGAAGCUUAUCCACAAGUUGUAACUAAGUGUGAGACAUCCUUAAGGUUUAAUUUAGUUUCAGGUAAAGUCUUCCUACUUCUGAGUAGAAUCCCAUGUAAAAGAUAUUUUUAUUAAUAUAAAAUCAAUAAAAAUAUAAUAUUUCCACCCAAUUA